AACGAACGCUGGCGGCAUGCCUAACACAUGCGAGUCGAACGAGACCUUCGGGUCUUGUGGCGCACGGGUGCGUAACGCGUGGGAACCUGCCCUUAGGUUCGGAAUAACUCUCCGAAAGGGGUGCUAAUACCGGAUAAUGUCUUCGGACCAAAGAUUUAUCGCCCUUGGAUGGGCCCGCGUUGGAUUAGCUAGUUGGUAGGGUAAAAGCCUACUAAGGCGACAAUCCAUAGCUGGUCUGAGAGGAUGAUCAGCCACACUGGGAGGGGGACACGGCCGAGAAUCCUACGGGAGGCAGCAGUGGGGAAUAGUGGACAGUGGGCGAAGGGCUGAUGCAGCUAGGCCGCGUGAGUGAUGAAGGCAGUAGGGUUGUAAAGCUCUUUUACCCGGGAUGAUAAUGACAGUACCGGGAGAAUAAGCGCCGGCUAACUCCGUG
rnacentral:rRNA from 1 species